UAAAAACCCCGACUUCGGAAGGGGUGUAUUUAUUAGAUACAAAACCAAUGCCCUUCGGGGCUCUUUGGUGAUUCAUGAUAACUAUACGAAUCGCACGGCCUUGCGCCGGCGAUGGUUCAUUCAAAUUUCUUCCCUAUCAACUUUCGAUGUUUGGGUAUUGGCCAAACAUGGUUGCAACGGGUAACGGAGGGUUAGGGCUCGACCCCGGAGAAGGAGCCUGAGAAACGGCUACUACAUCCAAGGAAGGCAGCAGGCGCGCAAAUUACCCAAUCCCGACUCGGGGAGGUAGUGACAAUAAAUACUGAUACAGGGCCCUUUCGGGCCUUGUAAUUGGAAUGAGUACAAUUUAAAUCCCUUAACGAGGAACAAUUGGAGGGCAAGUCUGGUGCCAGCAGCCGCGGUAAUUCCAGCUCCAAUAGCGUAUAUUAAAGUUGUUGUGGUUAAAAAGCUCGUAGUUGAACCUUGGGCCUGGCUGGCCGGUCCGCCUCACCGCGUGCACUGGUCCGGCCGGGCCUUUCCCUCUGUGGAACCCCAUACCGUUCACUGGGCGUGGCGGGCAAACAGGACAGUUACUUU
rnacentral:rRNA from 1 species